ACAUCUUUUGAAAAGGGAACGCCUGAAGUCAUUUCUCAGUCCUUGAAACGCUGAGUCAAUUCAUUUCUGAGACAGAUCAAUGCCCAUCAACAUUGCUGCUCCAGCGCCCAGUCAUUCUUGGUGAUAAAGGGGAAGAGAGGACACACAUGGCUGGCUGCCCAUCUAGAGAGAGUAUGCAGUGCAAUUGCUGCCACCACCAGCUGUGUGGUCUUGACAAGAGCCUUCAUCUGCGUUUGGAUUUCCUCCAAGGUGGUGGAGACCUCAGUCCUCCAGAGGCCACCUGGUUACGCAUGCUUCUGCUGCUGCCACCGCUAGAUCUUUGACCAUGGAAGGAGUUAACCAUCUCAACAAAUAUCAGCAUUGGAAGAAAAAACUGUUCACAAUGGAAAGGAAUGGCAUGUUCCAAAUCUACUUGAGUAGCAGAAAAUCAAAAUUCUCCUCAGGCCUUUCCUCCAGCAAAACAUUCCUGUUGACAAAACGAGCUGGAAUGUGUGGGGCUGCGUUUCUGCUCCAAUCCUUCCAGCUUUAUAGAACCCCAGGAGACAGCUCACUUCCCCGCGCCACCAGCCUGCCUUGGAUGUUUUCCACUCUGGUUGGGUUCAGGCCGGCGGUUUCUCCACAUUCUUUAGCUCUCUGUUUUAUUACCAACGUACUCCAGGGCUGGUUGAGAAAGGGGAGAGGGAAGCCUCAUGACCCCCAUUGGGUCCCCUGGGCAGGGCACACACACCUCUAUUGUAGGGUCACUGGUUCCCGGGAAUUCCAGCCAAUGACAGAACUAGGUGGUCUUAAUUGCAUUUGAAAAUAAGACUAAAGAGAACAGAAAGAAGAAGUAAAACAAGGUAAAUGAAAUGCAAAAAAAAAAAAAAAAAAAAAAAAAAAAAAAGAAAGAAAAAAUAAAGAAAUUUCAUAGGAUUUUGCAAACUUUUGUUAAGCAUUCAAAUUCUAAAACACUCAACCAAACAAAGCUUUCACAGCUAUUUGUGCCUCGGGCUUAUUUCCUAAUUCAAAGCCGUAAUGGGAUCAGGUUAGUAAGAGCCUACAAUAGAAAACUAAAGCACAGUGCAAAUUGAUCUCUCACACUGUCGCUAAUUUAUCUUCUAAGACAUUUGCAAAAACUCUCACUGACUCCAAAUAUUGUCUGUAUGGGUGCUUGGUAUCAAACUGUGAAAUGGCUCUGUGAGUAUGAAAUGCAACUAUUAAUUUGAAAGCAACCUGGCCCAUUUGCAUGAAGCACUAACAUAGUGCCCGGUACAAUUUAGGCACACUCCUCUAUCUUAUAAACAAGGUAUGGAAAAGAACAGCUUGCCCUAGAAAAAGCAGACAUUCAAAUGGGAGGCUCACUCAGCCUUUCAGCUUCCUCUGCCUGCGGCAUCUUGGAGACGCACAUGCCCAGAAGGAGUGUUGGGCUGGAUCGUGGUUUGCUGGGCUGAACGCUGGAGGAUUUGAAGCAGGCCAAGCUAGGAGGGAGAAUUAGGGGCAGUGGGACUAUUCAUGCUGGUCUGAAUCCAAUCAGGCUUCACUGAGUCACAGCUAAAGAAAUGAUUCAAAGACCAGCACCAACUCCAAAGACACGGGUGUUGCUGCAAGCGACAGGUGAGUCCGUGGCUGAACGCCAGACCGAAGCCGGAACACAGCCGGGCGAGUCUGAGACAGAGUGGAGACUGUCCUGAGCUGCAGUUGAGAGCAUCACUGGGGUUUCCCUGGCUUGUCUUCAUUGUUCAGAGGGCACAAAGGUGCAGGAUCAGGGCAGACAAGUAGGGAACCUUUGUCUGCAGCAGAAAGUCUUUCCUCAACCCCCACCACUCUACUUCCCCAAAUUGCUCAAAGCUCAUUUCAUUCAAGAUGCUGCUGUUUCGGUAAAAGGUUUACCAGAAACUCACCGAAUGGCUGAUCCCUAUAACGUGUUACAUUCCAUGAGAACCUAGGCACACAGAAUGUCACGACUUGAAAACAUGAAGCGUUUGGACUAAAGGUUGGCACACUUUUUCUAUAAAGGAUCAGAUUGGAAAUGUUUUAGGCUUCAUGAGCCAAGAGACAAAAUCGAAGCUGUUAUGUAGAUGCUAAUAAAAGAA
ensembl:lincRNA